AUUGAACGCUAGCGGGAUGCUUUACACAUGCAAGUCGAACGAGUGGCGGACGGGUGAGUAAUAUAUCGGAACGUGCCCAGUAGCUGGGGAUACCUACUCGAACGAGUGGCUAAUACCGCAUACUAUUCGCGCGGCCGCUAUCGGAUUAGCUAGUUGGGUGGGUAAAGGCUCCCCAAGGCCACGAACCGUAGCUGGUUUGAGAGGACGACCAGCCACACUGGGACUGAGACACGGCCCAGACUCCGACGGGAGGCAGCAGUGGGGAAUUUUGGACAAUGGGGGAAACCCUGAUCCAGCCAUCCCGCGUGUAUGAGAAGGCCGUCGGGUUGUAAAGUACUUUCGGCAGAGAAGCGGUAUCUGCAGAAUAAGCACCGGCUAACUACGUGCCAGCAGCCGCGGUAAUAC
rnacentral:rRNA from 1 species